UACAGAGGUCCCAAGCGUUGUUCGGAUUCACUGGGCGUAAAGGGUGCGUAGGUGGCGAGGUAAGUCGGAUGUGAAAUCUCCGAGCUCAACUCGGAAAUGGCAUUGGAAACUACCUUGCUCGAGGGUUGGAGGGGGGACUGGAAUGCUUGGUGUAGCAGUGAAAUGCGUAGAUAUCAAGCGGAACACCAGUGGCGAAGGCGAGUCCCUGGACAACUCCUGACACUGAGGCACGAAAGCUAGGGGAGCAAACGGG
rnacentral:rRNA from 1 species